GGGUUGUGAGGUUAAGCGACUAAGCGUACACGGUGGAUGCCCUGGCAGUCAGAGGCGAUGAAGGACGUGCUAAUCUGCGAUAAGCGUCGGUGAGGUGAUAUGAACCGUUAUAACCGGCGAUUUCCGAAUGGGGAAACCCAGUGUGUUUCGACACACUAUCAUUAACUGAAUCCAUAGGUUAAUGAGGCGAACCGGGGGAACUGAAACAUCUAAGUACCCCGAGGAAAAGAAAUCAACCGAGAUUCCCCCAGUAGCGGCGAGCGAACGGGGAGGAGCCCAGAGCCUGAAUCAGUGUGUGUGUUAGUGGAAGCGUCUGGAAAGGCGCGCGAUACAGGGUGACAGCCCCGUACACAAAAAUACACAUAUUGURAGCUCGAUGAGUAGGGCGGGACACGUGGUAUCCUGUCUGAAUAUGGGGGGACCAUCCUCCAAGGCUAAAUACUCCUGACUGACCGAUAGUGAACCAGUACCGUGAGGGAAAGGCGAAAAGAACCCCGGCGAGGGGAGUGAAAAAGAACCUGAAACCGUGUACGUACAAGCAGUGGGAGCCUCUUUAUGGGGUGACUGCGUACCUUUUGUAUAAUGGGUCAGCGACUUAUAUUCUGUAGCAAGGUUAACCGAAUAGGGGAGCCGAAGGGAAACCGAGUCUUAACUGGGCGUUAAGUUGCAGGGUAUAGACCCGAAACCCGGUGAUCUAGCCAUGGGCAGGUUGAAGGUUGGGUAACACUAACUGGAGGACCGAACCGACUAAUGUUGAAAAAUUAGCGGAUGACUUGUGGCUGGGGGUGAAAGGCCAAUCAAACCGGGAGAUAGCUGGUUCUCCCCGAAAGCUAUUUAGGUAGCGCCUCGUGAAUUCAUCUCCGGGGGUAGAGCACUGUUUCGGCAAGGGGGUCAUCCCGACUUACCAACCCGAUGCAAACUGCGAAUACCGGAGAAUGUUAUCACGGGAGACACACGGCGGGUGCUAACGUCCGUCGUGAAGAGGGAAACAACCCAGACCGCCAGCUAAGGUCCCAAAGUCAUGGUUAAGUGGGAAACGAUGUGGGAAGGCCCAGACAGCCAGGAUGUUGGCUUAGAAGCAGCCAUCAUUUAAAGAAAGCGUAAUAGCUCACUGGUCGAGUCGGCCUGCGCGGAAGAUGUAACGGGGCUAAACCAUGCACCGAAGCUGCGGCAGCGACACUAUGUGUUGUUGGGUAGGGGAGCGUUCUGUAAGCCUGUGAAGGUGGCCUGUGAGGGUUGCUGGAGGUAUCAGAAGUGCGAAUGCUGACAUAAGUAACGAUAAAGCGGGUGAAAAGCCCGCUCGCCGGAAGACCAAGGGUUCCUGUCCAACGUUAAUCGGGGCAGGGUGAGUCGACYCCUAAGGCGAGGCCGAAAGGCGUAGUCGAUGGGAAACAGGUUAAUAUUCCUGUACUUGGUGUUACUGCGAAGGGGGGACGGAGAAGGCUAUGUUGGCCGGGCGACGGUUGUCCCGGUUUAAGCGUGUAGGCUGGUUUUCCAGGCAAAUCCGGAAAACCAAGGCUGAGGCGUGAUGACGAGGCACUACGGUGCUGAAGCGACAAAUGCCCUGCUUCCAGGAAAAGCCUCUAAGCAUCAGGUAACAUCAAAUCGUACCCCAAACCGACACAGGUGGUCAGGUAGAGAAUACCAAGGCGCUUGAGAGAACUCGGGUGAAGGAACUAGGCAAAAUGGUGCCGUAACUUCGGGAGAAGGCACGCUGAUAUGUAGGUGAAGCGACUUGCUCGUGGAGCUGAAAUCAGUCGAAGAUACCAGCUGGCUGCAACUGUUUAUUAAAAACACAGCACUGUGCAAACACGAAAGUGGACGUAUACGGUGUGACGCCUGCCCGGUGCCGGAAGGUUAAUUGAUGGGGUUAGCGGUAACGCGAAGCUCUUGAUCGAAGCCCCGGUAAACGGCGGCCGUAACUAUAACGGUCCUAAGGUAGCGAAAUUCCUUGUCGGGUAAGUUCCGACCUGCACGAAUGGCGUAAUGAUGGCCAGGCUGUCUCCACCCGAGACUCAGUGAAAUUGAACUCGCUGUGAAGAUGCAGUGUACCCGCGGCAAGACGGAAAGACCCCGUGAACCUUUACUAUAGCUUGACACUGAACAUUGAGCCUUGAUGUGUAGGAUAGGUGGGAGGCUUUGAAGUGUGGACGCCAGUCUGCAUGGAGCCGACCUUGAAAUACCACCCUUUAAUGUUUGAUGUUCUAACGUUGGCCCGUAAUCCGGGUUGCGGACAGUGUCUGGUGGGUAGUUUGACUGGGGCGGUCUCCUCCUAAAGAGUAACGGAGGAGCACGAAGGUUGGCUAAUCCUGGUCGGACAUCAGGAGGUUAGUGCAAUGGCAUAAGCCAGCUUGACUGCGAGCGUGACGGCGCGAGCAGGUGCGAAAGCAGGUCAUAGUGAUCCGGUGGUUCUGAAUGGAAGGGCCAUCGCUCAACGGAUAAAAGGUACUCCGGGGAUAACAGGCUGAUACCGCCCAAGAGUUCAUAUCGACGGCGGUGUUUGGCACCUCGAUGUCGGCUCAUCACAUCCUGGGGCUGAAGUAGGUCCCAAGGGUAUGGCUGUUCGCCAUUUAAAGUGGUACGCGAGCUGGGUUUAGAACGUCGUGAGACAGUUCGGUCCCUAUCUGCCGUGGGCGCUGGAGAACUGAGGGGGGCUGCUCCUAGUACGAGAGGACCGGAGUGGACGCAUCACUGGUGUUCGGGUUGUCAUGCCAAUGGCACUGCCCGGUAGCUAAAUGCGGAAGAGAUAAGUGCUGAAAGCAUCUAAGCACGAAACUUGCCCCGAGAUGAGUUCUCCCUGASWCYUWGAGWSUCCUGAAGGAACGUUGAAGACGACGACGUUGAUAGGCCGGGUGUGUAAGCGCAGCGAUGCGUUGAGCUAACCGGUACUAAUGAACCGUGAGGCUUAACCUUACAACGCCGAAG
rnacentral:rRNA from 1 species